UUUUUUUUAAUUUGAGGGGUUCCUGUAUUCUUAGAUACUCAACUUUGUGACACCUGGAAGUAUAUUUCAGGUGUAGGUUUACUUUUCAUUUACUCCUCUUAACUGAUGGGUUAGAGCCCUUUUAUUUUAUAGAUGAGGAAGCUGAAAUUUAGAAAAGUUAAGGGGUUUGCACAGGUCACGUAAGUAGUGAGGUGUGCAGCUGGGAUUGGAAUAUAAAUAGAUUCCUUUCCAAGAGCAUUCUUUGUUAUGUAAGGGAAAGAUGGGUGGUAUUAUUGGACUAAGUACUAAAGCAGGAGUCUUGAGCUGAGUAGGUCUGAAAAUCUCAUUUAAUGGUAUUUGGCUUAAAAGGAGUAUUAAAGUUUAGUCACUUCGGUAUAGUUUUUCUUGAAGGUCAAAUUAUGAAGUGGUAAACAAUAGAACUUUCUGUGAUGAAGGAAACUUGUGUAUCCCAAGAGAUUAUUUAGAAUGGUGGCCAGUAGCCACCAAAUGAGACUAUGGAUCAUUUGACAUGCGGCCAGUACAACUAAAGAACUGAGUUUUCAAAUCCACUUAAUUAAUAUCAAUGUAAGUAGCCUCUAUUCGUUACCAUAUUGGAGAGCACAACUGUAUGCAUGUGGGUGCAGUAGACGUUUUAGGUAGUGUAACAUGGUUGCGGUUACAUGUAAAUGUCUUAUUUCUUAGGCCAAAUUUGAGUUUCAUCACGGUGACUAUGAAAAACAGUUUCUGCAUGUACUGAGCCGAAAGGACAAGACUGGAAUUGUCAACAAUCCUAACCAGUCGGUGUUUCUCUUCAUUGACAGACAGCACUUGCAGACUCCAAAAAACAAAGCUACAAUCUUCAAGUUAUGCAGCAUCUGCCUCUACCUGCCACAGGAACAGCUUACCCACUGGGCAGUUGGCACCAUUGAGGAUCACCUCCAUCCUUACAUGCCAGAAUAGAGUGCUGACCAGCAAAAUGGAGAAGAUCAGAGAGUGCAGCAGCAAUUUUUUUUUCUUACCACUUGAUUCUUUCAGAGUUUAAAGAAAAAUGGACUCAUGCACAGAACACUAUGCAUUUUGAAACUUGUUCAUCCUGGAUUUUUUUUUUUUAAUCAUUUGUAUCUCAGAACUUAAAUUAGAUGUCUUCUGCACGGACUGUGUGAAAGAAGAUGCUUUGCAUAUUUGCUGCACUGCAUCAGCAUCUUACUAAAAAUGUGAAAUGAAAGGACUGUUGUACACUGAAAUGCUUAAAUGUUUCUGAAAGCACAAGGUGAUACUCAUUUUUGAUGGUCUUUCCAUUUGUGCUGGUGUUGGCCUCUUUGACACCUGUCAUCAGUAUUUGGAGGGUGAGAAGUGAAUGUAACAGGUAUAAACAACGUUUUUAAAACUUACAGCUUUGCUAUAAUCACCGUUGUUCAGAGCAGUAUCAGAUUCAUUCUAAUGGCCAAAAGUGGUUGUUUAAAAAAGAAAAAGAAGAUACAACCAUGGGAAAGAAAUCUUUAAAAAGCAUCUCAUUGUAGGCAGUCUUGCCUCAUGUAUUACUGGGUCAUGUUUGUUUCCUGGUACUCAUAAAUGUAUGUAUUUUAUUUCCAGAUCUCUUUCCCCAAGUUGCUGUUACGAAAGAGGAUUCUGCCGAGUGUGCACACAGUUACACACGUUAAAGCAGAUCUGGAGUCUGAAGUAGCUAAGCGGCUCUGAAACAGAAAUACAUUCAUAGCUGCAGAAACCACAAUAGGUAGAGGACUGUCCUUUUGGUUUUUGUUUUUUUGGUUUUGAAAAGAAGAGAUUUUUAUUAUAAAGAAAAACAAUUCCAGUGAAUUGUGCAGAAAUACUGGUUUUUACACCAUCCUAAAGGAAAACUUAGGGGUUUUUUUGAUGUAGAAAUGUUAUUAAAGUUGGGAUCUUAAAUUGUGCGGGGAGGAAAAAAAACACCAUUGAGUGUCAAAAUUCUAAAAGCAGAACUCAUUUUGUGCAAUGAACAUAAGGAAAGACUACUGUAUAGUUUUUUUGUUUAUUUUUCUUUUAAAUGAAGAAAAGCUUUGCUUAAGGGUUGCAUACUUUUAUUGGAGUAAAUCUGAAUGAUCCUACUCCUUUGGAGUAAAACUUAGUGCUUACCGGUUUCCAAUUGUAUUUAGCUUCUGGUUGGAAUUUGAAUAAAUGAAAACCUAAAUAAAAUAGGUGAAAGUUCCCUGACUAUUCAGGUGAAUACACAAAA